rnacentral:lncRNA from 1 species
AUGGAUAAACAAAUGAUAAAGAUUGGCUUAUUGAAUUUCAGAUCCAUUUCUACGAAAACACGUUUUGUAAAUAAUAUGAUAACUGAUCAUAAUAUAGAUGUGCUCUGUUUGACAGAAACUUGGCUAAAACCUGAUGAUUACAUUAUUUUAAAUGAGUCCACCCCCCAAGAUUACUGCUAUAAACAUGAGCCGCGUCUAAAAGGCAAAGGGGGAGGAGUUGCUUCAAUUUAUAACAACGUUUUCAGGAUUUCUCAGAGGGCAGGCUUCAAGUAUAACUCGUUUGAAGUAAUGGUGCUUCAUAUAACAUUAUCCAGAGAAACCAAUGUUAAUGAUAAAUCCCCUGUUAUGUUUGUACUGGCUACUGUAUACAGGCCACCAGGGCACCAUACAGACUUUAUUAAAGAGUUUGGUGAUUUUACAUCCGAGUUAGUUCUGGCUGCAGAUAAAGUUUUAAUAGUUGGUGAUUUUAAUAUCCAUGUCGAUAAUGAAAAAGAUGCAUUGGGAUCAGCAUUUAUAGACAUUCUGAACUCUAUUGGUGUUAGACAACAUGUAACAGGACCUACUCAUUGUCGAAAUCAUACUCUAGAUUUAAUACUGUCACAUGGAAUUGAUGUUGAUAGUGUUGAAAUUAUUCAGCCAAGUGAUGAUAUCUCAGAUCAUUAUUUAGUUCUGUGUAAACUUCAUAUAGCCAAAAUUGUAAAUUCUACUUCUUGUUACAAGUAUCGAAGAACCAUCACUUCUACCACAAAAGACUGCUUUUUAAGUUAUCUUCCUGAUGUAUCCAAAUUCCUUAGCAUAUCCAAAACCUCAGAACAACUUGAUGAUGUAACAGAAACUAUGGACUCUCUCUUUUCUAGCACUUUAAAUACAGUUGCUCCUUUACGCUUAAGCAAGGUUAAGGAAAACAGUUUGACACCAUGGUAUAAUGAGCAUACUCGCACCCUGAAGAGAGCAGCCCGAAAAAUGGAGCGCAGCUGGAGGAAAACAAAACUAGAGUUAUUUCGUAUUGCUUGGCGGGAAAGUAGCAUAUCCUAUAGAAAAGCAUUAAAAACUGCUGAUUACUUUUCUUCUCUUUUAGAAGAAAACAAACAUAACCCCAGGUAUUUAUUCAAUACAGUGGCUAAAUUAACAAAAAAUAAAGCUUCAACAAGUGUUGACAUUUCCCAACACCACAACAGUAAUGACUUUAUGAACUACUUUACUUCUAAAAUCGAUACUAUUAGAGAUAAAAUUGCGACCAUUCAGCUGUCAGCUACAGUAUCACAUCAGACAGUGCACUAUAGACCCCCUGAGGAACAGUUCCACUCAUUCUCUACUAUAGGAGAGGAAGAAUUGUAUAAAUUUGUUAAAUCAUCUAAACCAACAACAUGUAUGUUAGACCCUAUACCAUCUAAGCUCCUAAAAGAGGUGCUUCCAGAAGUCAUAGGUCCUCUUCUGACUAUUAUUAAAUUCCUCAUUGUCAUUAGGAUAUGUCCCCCAAACCUUCAAACUGGCUGUUAUUAA